rnacentral:rRNA from 1 species
CCGGCUCAGGACGAACGCUGGCGGCGCGCCUAACACAUGCAAGUCGAACGAGAGAUGAGGAGCUUGCUCUUCAAAUCGAGUGGCGAACGGGUGAGUAACGCGUGAGGAACCUGCCUCAAAGAGGGGGACAACAGUUGGAAACGACUGCUAAUACCGCAUAAGCCCACGGCUCGGCAUCGAGCAGAGGGAAAAGGAGCAAUCCGCUUUGAGAUGGCCUCGCGUCCGAUUAGCUAGUUGGUGAGGUAACGGCCCACCAAGGCGACGAUCGGUAGCCGGACUGAGAGGUUGAACGGCCACAUUGGGACUGAGACACGGCCCAGACUCCUACGGGAGGCAGCAGUGGGGAAUAUUGCACAAUGGGGGAAACCCUGAUGCAGCGACGCCGCGUGGAGGAAGAAGGUCUUCGGAUUGUAAACUCCUGUUGUUGAGGAAGAUAAUGACGGUACUCAACAAGGAAGUGACGGCUAACUACGUGCCAGCAGCCGCGGUAAAACGUAGGUCACAAGCGUUGUCCGGAAUUACUGGGUGUAAAGGGAGCGCAGGCGGGAGAAUAAGUUGGAAGUGAAAUCCAUGGGCUCAACCCAUGAACUGCUUUCAAAACUGUUUUUCUUGAGUAGUGCAGAGGUAGGCGGAAUUCCCGGUGUAGCGGUGGAAUGCGUAGAUAUCGGGAGGAACACCAGUGGCGAAGGCGGCCUACUGGGCACCAACUGACGCUGAGGCUCGAAAGUGUGGGUAGCAAACAGGAUUAGAUACCCUGGUAGUCCACACCGUAAACGAUGAUUACUAGGUGUUGGAGGAUUGACCCCUUCAGUGCCGCAGUUAACACAAUAAGUAAUCCACCUGGGGAGUACGACCGCAAGGUUGAAACUCAAAGGAAUUGACGGGGGCCCGCACAAGCAGUGGAGUAUGUGGUUUAAUUCGACGCAACGCGAAGAACCUUACCAAGUCUUGACAUCCUGCGACGCACAUAGAAAUAUGUGUUUCCUUCGGGACGCAGAGACAGGUGGUGCAUGGUUGUCGUCAGCUCGUGUCGUGAGAUGUUGGGUUAAGUCCCGCAACGAGCGCAACCCUUAUGGUCAGUUACUACGCAAGAGGACUCUGGCCAGACUGCCGUUGACAAAACGGAGGAAGGUGGGGAUGACGUCAAAUCAUCAUGCCCUUUAUGACUUGGGCUACACACGUACUACAAUGGCGUUAAACAAAGAGAAGCAAGACCGCGAGGUGGAGCAAAACUCAGAAACAACGUCCCAGUUCGGACUGCAGGCUGCAACUCGCCUGCACGAAGUCGGAAUUGCUAGUAAUCGUGGAUCAGCAUGCUGCGGUGAAUACGUUCCCGGGCCUUGUACACACCGCC